UGAUAGGAAAAGUUAGCACCAAGAAGAGAUUUCCUGAAAAAUUCUUAUCCUCUUCUGUUAUUUUUAUACUAUUUGAAUGCAUUACCUUGCCACUUCUUUCAUGACCGGGCAGCUUAGUGAUAAGCUAGAGUAUUACAAAUUACAAAAAUUACAAAAGUAUUACAAAUGUUUUCUCCAUCUUUGAGAGCAAUAUGUAAUAUCAUUAGAUUUCCAGUUUGCUUUGGCAAUGAUAUGUUUAACAGACAAGCUGUUCUCCCUGUUGAAGAGAUGGGACUGGCUCUGAGCAAGCAAGAUAGAAGAAGAGCAUUAGUGGAAACCUAUUAUCUGUGUUCAAUUUUCCCAAAGAGUAACCAAGGCUGCUUCUGCAAUGGAGAAUAAAUGAAAACAUUUAUCGUCUGAUAAAAAUUAGUAAGCUGCUCAUACUGGCACGUUUCCUUGCUGAUUAUGGUGCAAUAAGGUGGCUUCUGUUGAGGAGCAGCUCACAGUGAGCAGUGGUGACAGCCUCAGCAACCACCAAGCUCCCCAAGGUGCUCAUACCUCACCUCCGUCAAUAAGAAGCACCUGAAGACCAACCCAAGGGCCUUUGUGCCAGAGAAAGGAUGUGCACACUUGCAGUAGAGCAUACCUAAUGCCUCAAGAGCUGUGCACCAAAACUGCUGAGAAAAGCACAGAACACACCAUCAGAAGAGGAGAGGUAGAGUCGGAUGUGCCCACACCCUCAGCCACCUCCCUCACACCCACAGCGCUGCUCCCAGCCCCCGAGCACCCAGCUCGGGGAGCACAGGGUGAAGCACAAAGCCCUGGCAUCAACACUGAAAGGAUCUAACUGGUGCAACAGCUCACAUCUCCACAAGCAAAAAUAGCAGUACCAUUAUUUUUAACAGUACUGGGACAAAGAUGCAUUGCUGAGGUACAACAAGAUAAGGGAAAUUUGUCUCAGCUACUCCUAAAAUUAUUAGCAGAAGUAGCCUGGGAAUGCUGCAGAAUAUGGUCCAUACUUUCUACAUUUCUCUUCCCAGCAUGAAAAAACAUGAAACAUCUCAAUUCAUCUUUUACUAUAGCUUCUUCAAACUACAUGCAGCGUGUGGCUUUAAACCCAUUUCAGAGCAGCUAAGCACACAACAAACCAUUAACCUGAAGGACUAUCACUUACAGGAUGCUAUGCAAAGAUUCAGAGAGCUUCUGGAAUAA
rnacentral:lncRNA from 1 species